CCUACGGGCGGCAGCAGUGAGGAAUAUUGGUCAAUGGUCGCGAGCCUGAACCAGCCAAGCAGCGUGAAGGAUGACUGCCCUACGGGUUGUAAACCUCUUUUAUAAAGGAAUAAAGUCAGGCACGUGUGCCUGUUUGUAUGUACUUGAUGAAUAAGCAUCGGCUAACUCCGUGCCAGCAGCCGCGGUAAUACGGAGGAUCCGAGCGUUAUCCGGAUUUAUUGGGUUUAAAGGGAGCGUAGAUGGGUUGUUAAGUCAGCUGUGAAAGGUUGGGGCUCAACCGUAAAAUUGCAGUUGAUACUGGCAGUCUUGAGUAGAGUUGAGGUAUGCGGAAUUCGUGGUGUAGCGGUGAAAUGCUUAGAUAUCACGCAGAACUCCGAUUGCGAAGGCAGCUUACUAACCUGCCACUGACACUGAUGCUCGAAAGUGUGGGUAUCAAACAGGAUUAGAUACCCGGGUAGUC
rnacentral:rRNA from 1 species